UACGAAGGGGCUAGCGUUGUUCGGAAUUACUGGGCGUAAAGGGCGCGUAGGCGGCGUGUCAAGUCAGGCGUGAAAGCCCCGGGCUCAAUCUGGGAACCGCGCUUGAGACUGGCAUGCUCGAGUUCGGGAGAGGAUCGGUGGAAUUCCCAGUGUAGAGGUGAAAUUCGUAGAUAUUGGGAAGAACACCGAUGGCGAAGGCAGCCAUCUGGACCGACACUGACGCUGAGGCGCGAAAGCGUGGGGAGCAAACAGGG
rnacentral:rRNA from 1 species